CACGUAGGGGGCAAGCGUUGUCCGGAAUCAUUGGGCGUAAAGAGCGUGUAGGCGGUCCGGUAAGUCGGCUGUGAAAGUCCAGGGCUCAACCCUGGGAUGCCGGUCGAUACUGCCGGACUAGAGUUCGGAAGAGGCGAGUGGAAUUCCCGGUGUAGCGGUGAAAUGCGCAGAUAUCGGGAGGAACACCUAUGGCGAAGGCAGCUCGCUGGGACGUUACUGACGCUGAGACGCGAAAGCGUGGGGAGCAAACAGG
rnacentral:rRNA from 1 species